AAAUAUAUUAUUAUUCUUCUUUUUUCUCAUCUUAUUUUCUCCAUCUUCUACUCCUUCUUCUUAUUCUUAUUCUUCUUCUUUCUUUCUUAUUAUUACUUUUCUUCUCUUUCUUCUUCUUCUUCUUCUUCUUCUUCUUCUUCUUCUUCUUCUUCUGGUCUUCUUCUUGUUCUUCUUCUAACUUUCUUAUUCCCAUUUUGCAAAUUUGAUUCACUCCAUGGAAGCUGGCACUGAUGGAAUGCUAGUGUUUAGUUUAUGUUUUG
rnacentral:lncRNA from 1 species